rnacentral:lncRNA from 1 species
CUGGAUGCGAGCUCUUUGUCAGAUGUAAGGAUUGUGAGUUACCUCCUCUAUUAGCAAAUUUAACUUGCUUAUUCAUCAACUCAUUCCAAGAGCACCAAUAAGGAAUGGGCCAGGCCCUGUGCUGGGUGCUGGGUUAUCAGAAUGAGUAUGAUGUGGCCCUCAUUCUUGAAGACAGCUCGACCGUGAUGGAGGAGACAGGCAUUUAGAAUAAGCAUGAAAUAAAGGUGGCUGUUAAGGGGUCAGCUCCCCUCACCAAAGUCACUUUUGAUUUACUUACAAAAGUUUUCUUAAGAUUUCUUCAGAACCCAGGUCAAAAGGCUGUGGCAGGAGGCCAGGCAGAUCACAGCGUCCAUGCCUAGAUGCUCCCUGACCCCCAGGAACCAGAAGUGCUGUCUCCUGAAGGCUCUGGAAACCCGGAAUCAGCCUACGAGGCACCAGGGCCACCUUGGAGGGUGGAAAUGAGGACCUCAGGCCCCAGAGGGCAUGCAGGCGAGGUGAAGUUCAGGAGAGGGAACUCACAGCGAAAUCUACCAACCAAAGAGGAUGUCCAUACCUGUCUUUUUCUUUCUUCCUUCAUUUUUUGACUUAAUUUCCUCACUUGAAAAAAAAAAAUAAAACACCUUAUUCAGGGUAUACUUUAUGGGCAGUCUUAAUUUUUUUUAUUAGGAUGUGGGAUGUAAAUCCAUAAAAGAAGUAGAAGUGCUGAGCCUUCCUGUGGAGUGGGUGCUGGAGGGGAAAAGGUGGAGUUAGGGGAGGGAAGGGGAGGGCAGGAAGGUUGGUGAUGGGCAGAGAUUCACAGAGACUCCCAGGUCAGGGAGCAAUCCCCCAGUCAGGGCAGCAGGAAUGCCCAGAGGAAUUCUGAUCGGGACAGACGUCGGGCACUGAAUGAAGAGAGGUCCCUCAGGGGCCUGGUCUCAGGGGCCUUGAAUUCCACGCAAAGCGUGUCUUGAGCAUCAACUAUAUGCCAGGCACCUUUUACAUAUAUUAUUUCUUACUUCUAAAUUAUUCCAGAUUUUAAGCCGGGUGCAGUGGCUCACGCCUGUAAUCUCAGCAUUUUGGGAGGCCAAGGCAGAUGGAUAACCUGAGGUCAGGAGUUCGAGACCAGCCUGGCUAACACGGUGAAACCCCGUCUCUACUAAAAAUACAAAAAUUGCCUGGGUGUGGUGGUGCAUGCCUGUAAUCCUAGCUACAUGGAAGGCUGAGGCAGGAGGAUUGCUUGAACCUGAGUGGCAGAGGUUGCAAUGAGCUGAGAUUGUGCCACCGAGCUCCAGCCUGGACUACAAAGUGAGACUCCAUCUCAAAAUAAUAAAUAAAUAAAUAAAUAAAUCUAUCAAUCCAGAUUUUACCAAUUAGGAGACUGAGCCUCAGAGAAGUUAAAUCACUUGUCCAGAGCCCUGAAAUUGGAGAAGCAGCUGCGCUCAGACUGGAACCCUAGAUGGUAGGGCCCCUUAGUCCUCCUUUAUCUUGGGGGGAUCCAGGGAAGGCUUUUCAGCAGGGGAAUGAUGCAAUUGGAUACACAUGUCAGGGGGAACAUGACUGCUUGUGGCAAGGAACGCAGUAAGCCUGGG